UCAAUUCUACAAGCAAUGGCCUGUCUUCAAACCAUCUAUUGGCAGUUGAGCUGGAUGCAAUUCGAAGCCCGGAUUUUAAAGACAUCAAUGACAACCACGUUGGAAUUGAUGUAAACAGCUUGAUAUCCAUUGAAUCUGCUCCGGUGACCUACUUUUCAGAUGAGGAAAAGGAGAAUAAGAGCUUGACUCUCAUAAGUGGUCAUGUGAUGCACGUAUGGAUAGAUUACGAUGAAGUAGAGAAGCUACUCAAUGUUACAGUUGCUCCUAUCACAAGAACAAAACCAACCUUGCCUCUCUUGUCAACACCUCUCGAUCUUUCUUCUGUUAUGUUGGAUUCUAUGUACGUUGGUUUUUCUUCAUCUACUGGAGCAGUGGCUAGCAGCCACUAUAUUCUGGGGUGGAGCUUCAACAGAGGCGGACAAGCUCAAAGUCUUGACGUGUCAAAGUUGCCUUCACUUCCCCCUCAAAGAAAAUCCAGAAAGAAGCCAUAUUUAAGAAUUCUGGUCCCAACAAUAACAGCAAUCAUUUUGCUGGUAGCAAUCUCUGGUGCUGCUUAUAUAAUAAAGAGGAAGAAAUAUGAAGAACUGCGCGAAGAUUGGGAACGGGAGUAUGGUCCUCAAAGAUUCUCCUACAAGGAUUUAUACAAAGCAACUACAGGUUUCACGGACAGGAAGUUGCUGGGAAGUGGAGGUUUCGGAAAGGUUUACAGAGGAGUAUUGCCUUCUUCCAAUAUGCAAGUCGCGAUCAAGAAAGUAUCCCAUGAUUCCAAACAAGGAACUAAGCAGUUUGUUGCUGAGAUUGCUAGCAUGGGAAGGCUGAGGCACAGGAACUUGGUCCAGCUCCUAGGCUAUUGCCGAAGAAAGGGAGAGCUCCUCUUGGUCUAUGAUUACAUGCCCCACGGAAGCCUUGAUAAACUCCUAUUUCACAAUGACACACCCAGCUUUAAUUGGGUUCAUCGAUAUCAGGUCCUCAGAGGAGUUGCGUCUGCCCUUCUUUACCUCCAUGAAGAGUGGGAACAGGUUGUUCUUCAUAGAGAUGUUAAAGCUAGCAAUAUACUGUUAGAUGAUGAUUUCAAUGGUCGACUAGGAGAUUUUGGGCUUGCUAAAUUCUAUGAUCGUGGGGCUAAUCCUCAAACAACCUGUGUGGUUGGAACAGUUGGAUAUAUCGCGCCAGAGGUUACUAGAACAGGAAGGGCCACUACCAGCAGUGAUGUUUUUGCUUUUGGCACUUUUAUGCUUGAAAUGGCCUGUGGAAGGAAACCUGUAGAGCCAGAACAAUCAGCAGAAAAGAUGAUUUUGGUUGACUGGGUUCUUGACUCCUGGAAAAUAGGAGACAUUCUUCGAACAGGUGAUCCAAGAUUGGAAGGUAAUUACGUGGUGGAGGAAAUGGAAUUGGUUUUAAGGCUAGGUCUGCUUUGUUCUUUCUCCACACCACAAGCUAGGCCAAGCAUGAGGAAAAUUUCGCAAUAUCUGGAUGGGAAUGCUAGCCUGCCAGAGAUGCCUCUUGAUGGUGCUAGCAUAGGUUUGAUGCCAGUUAGUCAUGAAGAGCCUGGGGAUUUCACCUUGUCUUUCCAUAGAUCUAAUGAUUACUCUGCUCAUUCCUUCUCUAGUACCGACUCAAUCCUCAGCUGUGGUCGUUGAAUCAUGGCUUAACGAGGUAAAAAUUCUUUAAUCUAAAGACUAACAGCUGGCAUGUGGAAGGUAGAUUGGAAUACUUAGAGGGUUACCUUGUUUGUGCAUACCAUAGUAAUCCUCAAAGCACAACAAAGACUGCUCCAUGAGGGGUUAAUUAAUUAGCAUACAAACAUAGGUAUAAUUUAUGAUUUAAGCAAAACACAUGGUUGAAAUAGUACAAUGUUUGAUGUACAAUGCUGGUCAAUGAUGGCCGUGUAGCUUCUUCCAUUCUCCUCAGUGCUCUAACCCCACCCCACAAUUCAACUCAACUAUGCCUCAUUCCCAAACUAGUUAGAAUCAGUUUCACAGAUCUUCCUUCUCCAUUCAUUUAGUCCUUGUUCCUUUUUUGAUAAAACUCUCCACUUACUUCUGUUAUGGACUCAAAUGAUUAAUCACCUAUGCCUACCUCGUUUUUACAUGGAAGGUUAAUUACAUAUUGAAAUAUUCUGACUUCUGAUAUAGUGAUCUGCAGAAGCAUAGGCUUCAGUCAACUUUCUAAAAUACAGAAAAUCCAACACCCAGUAUCAUCGAUUAUCCUAACUAGAGUGCAGUUCAGUGUGAUAUAGCUGCUGGCUGGGUGGUUUAUUCACAGACUAGUAGUGGAAUAAAAAAAAUGGUGAUAAGGUAUCUUGAUGCUGAUGUUAUACACACAUAUAACUGUUUUAAUCUUUCUACAAACAGUCAAGAUUGCAAAAACCACGUUCAAGGAAGAAAGAAGAUAUAGACAGCAGCUUUGUAGGUUGAAAAGGGAUUAAAACACCAGCCAAGAAAAAGUAAAAGAAACAUUGCAACAAAAUUUGCAAUAAGAAGGCAGCAAUAUUAAUAACCCUGCUUUCAGAAAGAGUGUACAUAGUCAAUUACCUAAUGAAAAGGCUAGAGAUGUCUGAUCAAUAAGUUUCCAUCAUUUCUCCUGGUUAUUGGGUCACAGCUUGUUGCAGAUGAGGCAGCGCAACCUCUUGGGACAGAGUACGUUCACUUGCUGUGCAGCCUUUCCUGCAUCCAACUACCCUUAGUGAUUAAACAGACUCUAAUUUAUCAAGCAUGGAGAUUAGUUGUAAUGAUCAACUUUAAUUCUAAUUUGGGUCCCUCAAAGAACUUACACAGAGCAAGGUAAACAUGAAGUGACUUGAUUCCAUCUUAGGAAAAACAAGCUCAUACUGGAAAAGAUUUAACAGACAUUAGCCUCCCCGAAAAAUACCACAAAAAAAAAAAAAAACAAAAACAAAAGGAAGUUGAUACAGAUGCAGGAUAGCCAUCAACGUGAAAAUUACCGGUACUGAUGUGUUCAUAUGAACUUAUGGUGCCCGUGUGAGCUUGGAAGAGAGAACCAACCACUCCCUUUCCUCCUGGUAAUAUCUUGCUGGUCACAGAGGUGUCAAAGGCAAGGACUGCAGCCAUGGAUCAACUGUUGUAGUGGCUGUGACUGACCAAAUCAGCUCACUAAGAUAAUCCGCCUAUAGGAAAAGAAAUGAAUCAGGGAAGGAUGAUCUGUGAGUGGUGUGGUUUUUAUUAUGAAAUAAAAGUUUGUUUUUGUAUUUUAAAAUGUUUUUUAAAAAUUUUAAUUUUGUUUUAAAUAAGUUUUUUUUAUGUUUUUAAAUAUGUUAAAAGUAAUUUUUAAAAAAAAUAUAUAUUAUUUUAAUAUAUUUUUAAACAAUAAAUACUUUAAAAAAUAACAUUAUUACACUAACAAAACAAAAUGAAAAAGCUUAAGAAAUAGCUAAUUAUCACUAAAAAGUGAAAGGGAGACAUCUUAAUGGCAAAGUGAUGGCUGAUGUGCCAAUGACAGCCAUGAAUACCACUUAUUGGGACUAUACAUAGACAAACAUCUGAUUGAUGAUGAUAGGCAGAGCUCAUGAAUAGCUUGAACCACAACCUUUUGAACAGUUCCAAGAUAUUUGAAAGUAUCUUGUGAGGUUGCAGCAAACUGGAUAAGCCACCCGUUCCGUCUUUUCCCUUUUGCAAGUAUCACAUGCUUAAUUGCUUACACAAACUAUUUAAAACUACUAAAGAAUUUUAAUAAAAGAAACGCCAGCUGAUUGCCAGUUUUGGCGAAACGUUCAAAAGGCUUUGGACAAGGUUGAAGUCGGAGACAAAUUCAAAGCUACAGUAGCCCUUAAUGCUGAUGUUUACAAAUCAUCUUCCAAUAACCCAUCUUCGACUGUUGGGAACGAGCCUUUCUUGUCAAGUUUUAAUAGCACUUGCGACAAUGUUACGUUUACGUUUCCACCAUUUCAAGACGUUCAUAAGGCUUAGGACAAUGAUGGAGUCAGAGACAAAAUCAAAGCUACAGCAGCCCUUAAUGCUGAUGUUCAUGAAUCAUCUUCCAACAAACAACCUGAUGGCAAUUUCCGUAACAACAUAAAGGAUGUCACGAUUCACACUGUGAAGUUCGUCAAAUUAAAGCUCAUAAUGGGAGAAGUUGGCUGGCCUACAGAUGGUAACAGUGCUGGCGAUUUGAAGAUCAUAAUGGGAGAAGUUGGCUGCCUACAGAUGGUAACAUUAAUGCCGACCCCAAAUUAGCUAAAACGUUCCAUGACGGUCUCUUUAAAGAAGGGAACCCCUGUCCGACGAGGUUAAUUGGAUGUGUAUCUCUUUGGCCUAAUCGAAGAAUCAGAAGAGCAUUGCACCAGGACAUUUCGAGAGACAUUGGGGGCUCUUUCGCUUCGAUGAACAGCUAAAAUUUCCAUGGAUUUAUCUGGACAAGGUGAUGAAGAGAUGCUAAUAGCAUCAUAUGGAGUCCAAUACAUGCCAUCUCAAUGGUGUGUGCUUGAUGAGGAAAAUAAGAACUUGACCAUGAUAAAAUUGAAAUCAGCUAUGCCCUGCUCUUUGGUCGUGAAUGUUGAAUAUUUAGAUAGCAUUUGGAAAUGCAGUUUUUUAAUUUUUUUAAUUUAAAAUUAUUUUUUUAUAUUUUGGAUUAUUUUGAUGUUAUGAUAUUAAAAAUUAUUUUUUAAAAAAUUAAAAUUAUUAUUUUUAUAUAUUUUUAUAUAAAAAGUAAUUUAUAAAAUAACAUCUAUCAUCUUCAAAUAUCUUCUUGCUAGAGCUCCGCCUUGGCAUGCAUGCCCACUAGGGGUGUUCACGGUUCGGUUCGGAUCGGUUUUUAUCAAAAAAAGUAACCAAACCGAAAUUUUUUUUUAAAAAAAAAAACCGAAACCGGUUCAAACCGACCGGUUUCGGUUCGGUUCGGUUCGGUUUUUUAGAGAAAAAACCGGUUCAAACCGGUUUGGCUCGGUUUUUCCGGUUUGGCUCGGUUUUUUCGGUUUGGCUCGGUUUGGCUCGGUUUUUUUCGGGUUCGGUUCGGUUCGGUUUUUCCGGUUCCAGGCUUAAAAAACCGAAACCGAACCGAACCGGUCGGUUUUUUCAAAAUUUUAAUCGGUUUAAUCGGUUUUUUUUUUCGGUUCGGUUUUUUUGGUUAUUUUUUUUCCGGUUUUCUCGGUUUAAUCGGUUUUUCGGUUUUUUUGAACACCCCUAAUGCCCACUACCCAUCUUUAUUAAUUGUGUCUAUGGUUUUGGUUAUCUUGUUUUUCUAUUUUUUUUUCUUGUAAAUGACAAGUUUCAUUAUGUAUUUUGUUUUUCAUUUAUAUAUGUUUUUAUAUUUUUCUCCAAAAUUUUAAAAUUAAAUAUUUAUUAUCAUAAAAUUUUAUUCUUGUCAAUUGUCAUAAUUCUUUGAAAAUUUUUGAAGCAUGUCAUUAUGCUUAAAGAUAUUUAAGUUUUUUAUUUAUAAAAAUAAAAUUACAUAUCUGAAAAUUUAUAUUUUUUUUAUUUUUACAAUCAUAAUUUCAUUUGAAUAAUUUAUAAUAAUGGUCGUAUAAAAAAAGAAUAGAUUAUAAUUAUAAAUUGUUUUAUAAAUGAGAAAAAACAUACAUUCAAAAAAGAUAUUAUGAAAUAUUUUUUGAAAGAAAAAACAAUUAAAGGUAAUUUUUUAAAUAUAUAAAGCACAAUUAAAUUUGAACUUUCUUGGAAGAUAAGCUAUAAAAAUAAAUUUAUUGAUCUUAAGAAUUAGCACAAGAAGAUUUAUUGACAAUUUAUCUUUAAAAAUUAAAUUUAUAGAUACUUCUUUCAACUUCCUCUUUCUCUUUCUAUUUUAAAGUUGUGUGGCACAAAAAUUACACGUUGAAGGAAAGAACGUGUGUAUAUCCUCUUUUUAAGUGUGUGUUUAGUAGUGCAUUAUAUGUUAUUUUUUAAAAGUAUUUUUAAUUUAAAAUAUAUUAAAAUAAUGUAUUUUUAUAUUAAUACAUUAAAAUUAUAAAAUAAAUUUAAAACAAAUAUUAAAUUAAUAUUUUUUUCAUAUAAAAAAUUGGCUUAACAAACAUUAUAAAAAAUAAAUCGAACCACAAAAACAAUAGCAGCCUUAAAUGCAACCAAACAUGCUUAAAGCAAGCAUUAGGUUUUAAUAAUAAUAAUAAUAAUAAGAAGCGAGCAAGGGUUGCAUACCCGAGCGAUGAUUGCAGACCCAGUUUCCAAACCCUCACCCCUAAGCUGCAGACCCACUUGCCAAGGUUUGCAGAACCCCGCGCUUGGGGUGUGCAGAACUAGGAGCGGGGUGUAGACCCACCCGUCUGGGUUUCUUCUAUUGCGCCUGAGGUCUGCAGACCCCCCAGGAGUUGUAGAACCCGUAGAGAAAAUUAACAAAUUUGAAAAAAAAAUGAAAACAAAUAUAAUAACUAAUAACAAUUAUUAUUGUUAUUGUUAUUGUUAUUAUUAUUAUUAUCGUAAAUAAAUUUUAUAAAAAUAUUAUUACUAUAAAAACUUGGACUAGACAAGUUUAAUAUUAUUAUUAUUAUACUAAAUAUUAUUGUUAUUUAUUGUUGUCAUUAGUAAAUUGAAAACAAAAUUAUUAUUUAUUGUUAUCAUUUCAGGUGGGGUUGAAUUUCCUUAUUAAAACAUGUUUUGUUUUGGUUUUUAAAAAUGCUUUGAAACAAAUUUGACAAUUUUUUAUUUUUUUCAUUACUUCAAAUUAAUAUUUUUUCUUUUAAUUCAUAUUAAGAUGUUUUUGUAUUAUUUUGAUGUGAUUAUAUAAAAAAUAGAUUUAAAACAAUAAAAAAUAUUAUCUCAAUAUAUUUCAAAAAAAAUAUUUUAAGAUAUUUUCAAUUUUAUUUUUUUCCCUCUUCAAAUAUUUUUUUCUCUUAUUGAUUUUUUUCAUACUGUAAAGAGAAAAUAAAUUAAUGUGACUUUUUUUUAUAUUAUACAAAAGUUGGGUGAUGAUAAUUUUUUUUCAUUUCAAGUUGGGUUGAAUUUUCUUAUUAAAGUAUGUUUGGUUUUGCGAUUCAAAAAUGGUUUGAAAAAAAUUUAAAUUUUUUUUAUUGUUUUCUUUACUUCAAAUUAAUAUUUUUUAUGUUUUUAUAUUUUGUUUUUAAAUAUAUUGAGAUUGAGUCUGGUUGCAUAGCCACACCAAAAAGAAUAUAUUAAGUUGGGUCCUAUCCAGCAGGACCCAAAAUAGCUUUGGGUCCAGCCGCCGCUGGACCCAUCAGCCUUGGGUCUUGUCCCUAACAGGAUCCAUCAGCGUUAAGUCCUGCUCCUAGCAGGACCCAUCACUAUUUUUUUUUUUUUCUUUUCUAUUGGGUCAGGCAUUUUCUUCCAGAACCAAGAAACUUGGGUAAGAAACGACGCCUCACCCAAGGAGCUUGGGUGUGGCUAGGCACAGACCCAAAUCCAAAUCCCUUUGGUCUUAAAGACCCGCCUGGCCCAAGAUUAUUGGUCCUUCGUCAGGACCUAAGGCUAAUGGGUUAUGCGUCAGGAAUCAAGGCUAAUAGGUCGUGAGUCAAAACCCAAUGUUCUUGGGUCCUGUGUCAGGACCCAAUUUCCUUAGGUUAUGUCAGGACCCAAAACUAAUGGAUGUGACAUCAAGACCCAAGAUUCUUGGAUCUUAGAUUUCUAAAUAUAAUUAUUUAUGAUAUAAAUAUAAUUAUUUUUAUUAUAAUUAAAAGUACUAAUAUUAAAAAUAGUAUUAUUUGUGAUAUAAAUAUUACUAUUUUUAAAAUAAUUAAUAAAUUUGAAAAACAUUAUUAUCAGUAUUGAAAAACAACUAUAGAUUUCAUUUGAAGUGUAAAAUAAUUAAUAAUAAUAAUAAUAAUUAAAUUUUAAAAAAAUAUUAUUAUUAUCGAAGAAAAAACAUAUUUUUUUUAAGAUUAAAAAAAUAAAAAAUUUGGCUGACAAGUUAAAUAUUAAUAUUAAUAUUAUAAAUAUUAUUGUUGGAUUUAGCGUUGCAGCCAGACGCAACGCUCAUGGGUUCGUCGUUGCAGCCAAACUCAACACUUUUAGAUCUUAGAUUUUUAUUAUAUCUUUUUAUUAAAAUAAAAGGUGAGCCCGGGCCGUAGUGCGGGCAAAUAAGAAAAAUGAAAAAAAUAUCAAUUAUUAUUAUUAUUAUUAUCGUUAAUAAACUUUUUUAAAAACAUUUUUACUAUAAAAAAUUUGGCCAGACAAGUUCAAUACUAUUAUUAAUAUGAUAAAUAUAAUUAUUUGUAUUCUAAAUAUUAUUAUUUUUAUUAUAAUUAAAAGUAUUAGUGUUAGAAAUAUUAUUAUUUGUGAUAUAAAUAUUAUGAUUUUUUUUAUAAUUAAUAUUAUUAAUAUUAAAAAUACUAUUUUUUAUUAUAAAUAUUAUAAUUUUUAUUAUAAUUAAUAUUAUUCUUAUAAUAAUUAAUAAAUUUGUAGAAAAUAUUAUUAAUAUUGAAAAAAAUAGAUUUAAUUUGAAGGGUAAAAUUAAGAAUUAUUAUUACUAUUAUUGUUGUUGUUAUUGUCAUUACUAGAUUUUAAAACAAAAUUACUAUUGUCAUAGAAGAAAAGCAUAAUUAUUUUUUAAAAGAUUGAAAAAUAUGAGAAUUUGGGCAGAGAAGUUAAAUAUUAUUAUUAAUAUUAUAAAUAUUAUUAAAUUCAUUAAUAUUAUUACAAUAAAAAUAAAUAUUAUUGCUAUUAAAGAAAACAUAGAUUUGAUUUGAAGGGUAAAAUCAAUUAUUAUUAUUGUUAUUGUUAUUGUUAUUAUUGUUAUUAUUAUUAUUAUUAUUAUUAUUAUUACUAUUAUUUUCUUCACUUCAAAUUAAUAUUUUUUCUUAAUUCAUAUUAAGAUGUGUUUGUAUUAUUUUGAUGUGAUUAUAUAAAAAAUAUAUUUAAAAAAAUUAAAAAAAUAUUAUCUCAAUAUAUUUUUUAAAAAUAUUUUAAGAUAUUUCCAAUUUUAUUUUUUACUCUCUUGAAAAAACAUUUCUUUUUUCUUAUUGAUUUUUUUUUCAAACUGUAAAAAAAAAUUAAAUUAAUGUGACUUUUUUUAUAUUAUACAAAAGUUGGGUGAUGAUAAUUAUUUUUUCAUUUCAGGUGGGGUUGAAUUUUCUUAUUAAAGCAUGUUUGAUUUUGGUUUUCAAAAAUGCUUUGAAAAACAUUUGACAAUUUUUAUUUUUUGUCUUUACUUCAUAUUAUUAUUUUUUCCUUUAAUUGAUAUUAAGAUAUUUUUGUAUUAUUUUGAUGUGAUUAUAUAUAAAAUAGAUUUAAAAAAUAAAAAAAAUUAUCACAAUAUAUUUUUUUAAAAAUAAAAAAUAUUUUAAGAUAUUUCCAAUUUUAUUUUUUUCCCUCUUGAAAUUUGUUUCUUUUCUCUUAUUGAUUUUUUUUUAUACUGUAAAGAGAAAAUAAAUUAAUAUGACCUUUUUUUAUAUUAUACAAAAGUUGGGUGAUGAUAAUUUUUUUUUUCAUUUCAAGUUGAGUUGAAUUUCAUUAUUAAAGCAUGUUUUGUUUUGCGUUUUAAAAAUGCUUUGAAAAAAAUCUGAAAUUUUUUUAUUGUUUUCUUUAUUUUAAAUUAAUGUUUUUUAUGUUUUUAUAUAUAUUUUUAUUUUGUUUUUAAGUAUAUUGAGAUUAGGUCUGGUUGCGCAGUUACAUCCAAUGAGAAUAUAUUAAGUUGGGUCUUGUCCCGAGAAGGACCCAAAAUAGCUUUGGGUCCAGCUGCCGCUAGACCCAUCAGCAUGGGUCCUACCUCUACAAGGACCCAUCAAUAAUUGUUUUUCAUUUUUUUUUUCUUUUCUCUUGGUUUGGGCAGUCUCUUCCAGACCCAAAAAACUUGGGACAGGAAAAGGAGGGCACACCCAAGGGAGCUUGGGUGUGGUUAUGGAGUAGACCCAAAUCCCUUAGGUCUACAACUCCGUUUGACCCAAUAUUAUUGGUCCUUCUUCAGGAUCCAAUUUUUUGGGUCCUGAGUUAGGACCCAAGGCUAAUGUGUCCUGCGUCGGGAUCCAAUGCUCUUGGGUACUGAGUCAGGAUCGAAUUCUCUUGGGCUGUGUUAGGACCCAAAGUUCUUGUGUCCAUCAUCAGAACCCAAGGCUAAUAAGUUCUGCAUUAUGACUCAUGGUUCUUGUGUGUUAGGUUUCUAAAUAUAAUUUUUUGUAUUAUAAAUAUUAUUAUUUUUAUUAUAAUUAAAAGUAUUAAUAUUAAAAAUAGUAUUAUUUGUGUUAUAAAUAUUAUUAUUAUUAUUAAAAUAAUUAAUAAAUUUAAAAAAAAUUAUUAUUUGAUUUGAAGUGUAAAAUUAAUAUUAUUAUUAUUAUUAUUAUUAUUAUUAUUAUUAUUAUUAUUAUUAUUAAAUUUUAAAAAAUUAUUAUUACUAUGAAAGAAAAACCAUAAUGUUUUUUUUUGAAAGAUUAAAAAAAUAAAAUUUUUGACAAACAAGUUAAAUAUUAUUAUUAAUAUUAUAAAUAUUAUUGUUGGGUUUUGCAUUACAGUCAGACUCAACGCUCUUAGAUCCGAUAUUACAGCCACACCCAACGUUUUUAGAUCUUAGAUUUUUAUGAUAUUUUUUUUAUUAAAAUAAUAGGUGAGCCCGCAGCAUUACUCUUACGUAAAAAUUAAUGAGUUAAAAUUGAAAAUGGGUUUGGAUUUCCUUAAUUUUACCCUGGAUUGGAUUAUGUGAAAAAAAAUUAAAAAGUUACCCUAAAUUUUAUAAGUUUAUAAUACUUUAAAUUAAUAAAAAAAAUUAAAGUAUUAUAAGUUUGUCAUUAUAUUAUAUGUUUCACGUCAUUUGGGUUGCCAUUGUCAAAACCAUAGUUAUUAAACCCGGCCCGGGGUUGACCCGGCCAAGAGGCCGGGUCCCGGGUUUCAUAGGUCAACCCGGAAAAAUUAAAAAAAAAAUUAAAGUUUUAAUAUUUCAUAUGAAAAAAUCCAUGUAAAUAUAAAUUAUACAUAUUGUAAACAAUGAAGUUUAAAAGAAUAUUUUAAAAAGGUUUUUAUCCCACAUAAAAAAAAUAUUAUGUUAAGUUUUUAAGUUGAAGUAUUUAAACUAAAAACGUUUUUUAUCCCACAUUGAAAAAACAUGAUUUUUUACUUGGGAACAUAAAGUAUAUAUAACAAUGGGUUUCAAAUCUCACAUUUAAAAAAAAAAACUGGAUCUCGUUCAAGUUUAUCCGGGUCGCCUGAGUCAUGAGUUGACCUGCCGGGUCACCCGGAUUUAGCUGUACUGUUGCCCCAACCAGUCUUUUACUAAACCAAGUAGCAGGGCCAAGUCCUCUUCCUUCGACAUCGAAGCUUCUAUAUGCUUCAAUGCUGUUGAAUUUGCCGACGGCUGUUUUUAAUGAUUCAAUAAUUUAUUAUGAAGAUUAAAUUGCUUGUCACUUAAUGUAAACGGUCUAAAUACAAAUUGCUUAUCGGGAUUCAAACAAUUUUAUCUUAAAAUAUUGCACUAUAAAUCAUGACCUAUAAAUAUUUAAAUUUUUUAAGAUUAAUUUUUUAUUUAUUUAUAAUUAAUUUUAAAUUUAUUAUUUUUUAUAUUAAAAUAAUUAAUUAAUUUGACAAAUUUGUUUAUUAAAUGAUUGUAUCGUUCUUCUGCAUAGAGUCAAAGAUGGCCACCUAGGAAGAACGUCGUUGAAAUGGAUUUUUCACCCUUCAAAUUAAAUUAAAUUAUAAAUAAAUAAAUAAAUCUCAGACACGUGCUUGACUAAGUUUAUUCAUUGGAAUGGUGCGUUCGCAGAUUUGCCCUUGCACUGAAAUAUUGAGGUCAAUUUAGUCUUUUCACGGGAUCCAAAUUAAUCUCAGACACGUACACUUACAAGCAAAAACAAUUAACUUGUAUUCAGGUGCUUUUUUAUCUUUUUAAACUGAUUUUUUUUAUUAUAAUAAAGUUAAUUUACAAGCAAUUUGAUUAUUUAAUAAAUCUAUUUAUAUUAAAAAAAACCUGGCACGUGGGCUUUUCUUAUGCUAUUUGUGUGGCUGGUACCAUGAUGUUUGGAAGGCAAAUAGUGGUUUUCAAGGCGGUGUUGAAAUCGUCUUGACAGUUCUUUCAUGUUUAGGUUACGCUUGUGGUCAACCAAUCUAAGAUUUAGUGCUAAUAACUUUCUUUUUUUCCUUCUUGAUUUCUGCACUUGACCCUCUGAAAUUUAAAACCAGCCUUUCAAAUUAUUUUUUCUUGGAAUUUGAUCUCUUUUCUUGUAAUUAUUAUUUGUUUUAUUUGAAAUAAUUUAUAGAAUUAAAAUUUUUUUCAACUUCAUCAUCCUUCAACUUUUUCAUCUAUUAAAUUUGGUCCUUAUUUAUUCAUUUUAGAUGGUUUUUAGAAUUAAUUUUUUUUCAUGAUUUUAUUCUCCAAUUUUUUUCUAUCAAAUUUUAUCCUCAUUUUCUCCUUUAUUUAAGCUCGGAUCUCUUUAGCUUCAUCAUUCGGUAUUUAUUUAAUAAGAGAUUAGACUCCGUUAUUUUUUUAUUUUAUUUCUAUAGAAACUUUCAUUGGUUAUGAAAAUAACGUGGGUUAUAUUGAGUCUUUUUAUUUGUUGCUCUUUGUUAAAUUUAGCUUUUUUUGAGAAAUUUAAUUUUUUAUUAAAUUAAAUUAAUUAAUUAAAUAUAAGCAUGAAAUGCUCAUUUCAUGAUAUUUUACUUGGUUUUAUUUCUGGUGAUAAGACGGUGUUCACAGACUUUUCCUUCAUUUGCUAUUGGGUCUUAUAUUGGUAACUCAUUUUUUAUAGUUAACUAUUGCAAAAAAAAAUUAUUUUAUUUACCGUUGAUAUCUUUUUUAAUCAUAUUAUUAAAUUAAUCAAGCUUAUUGAAUCAAGUCAAAUUAAUUACCUAAAUCUCAAAUUUGUUUUGCUUCUUUAAAAAUGUUGGCGCCCUUGAAUAUUUUUUUUUGUCAAUUUUUUUUUUAUAUAUCUAUUAUCAUUGUAUUUUUUUUACUCGUAUUAUUUAAAUUAAUCUAACUUAUUAAUUCCCAUAAAAAAUGACUGGAGUCUCAUUAACUUUUUAAAACAUUUUAGAAACAAUUGUGCCAUCUUAGCAUCUUUUUUACCGUUAAAAAAAAAAACUUCAGCCUAUGCAAGCCAUCCAUCUAGUUUCAAUCUAGUACCCCAUUUCCAUUGCUCAUAAGAAUCAGGCUUGAACAUCCUUUUAUUUUGGUUUAGAUAAAUUAAAGAAAUGCCAUUGCAGUGCUCUUUGUUACUUCAAUCUUCUUUUUACCCUAAACUAAGUAGAGUUCCUUCAACACUUUAAAUCUGUGAACAAACUAGGGAAUUCUGGAAAACCAGGUCUGAAUCUGGACACUUGCGCACCGCAUGUCCGAGCAACAGAGGUUUAAAACUAUUGAUUCAAUCUUCAAUAUUCAGUAAAAUGAUAAUUAUUUUGGAAGUCCAAUUAGUAAUAGAAUUUAUUUCUUGCCAUAGAAGAUUUUAGAAUUUUAUUUUCAUUGACCUUGUAUCCACUUUGAAAAGUAGUUUUCCCUAUUUUUUUCCAAGAAAAAGCUUUGAAGAAGGUUCGAAUGCGCCCAAGUCAUAGCAAUGUGACGAGAAUUGUUUAUAAUUCAGUCUUUAGACUGAGGAUUUGAAACUGUAACAACAAUUAAGGAGAAACUCGAAGCGAAAAAAGUUUGUUUUCUUUUACCAAUUAAUGUGUAACUGAAGAAGCAAAAGCAAUCUUCUGCACGUUCUUAUGAUGAUUGCAUCGUUCAAAUCAUUGCACUUUCUACUCGGCCUGUUUGUUUCCUUGAAGCUCUUGGCCUUAGCUCAAGAGGAAAACCACUUCAUCUAUCAUGGCUUCACUGGCGCCAACCUGCUCCUCAGCGAGAAUGCAAAAAUCGAUCCAAAUGGUCUCUUAGAGCUGACAAACACUUCAAAACGGCAAAUUGGCCGUGCUUUCUUCCCAUUCCCUUUUCAGUUCAACACAUCUUUAUUCAACAAUUCUCGGUCUCUCUCGUUCUCUACCCAGUUUGCGUUUGCCAUGGUCCCUGAGCUGCCUACACUUGGUGGCCAUGGCAUGGCCUUCACAAUCUCUCCAUCUGUGGACUUCACAGGGACUAUGGCAACUCAAUACUUUGGAAUCCUCAAUUCUACAAGCAAUGGCCUGUCUUCAAACCAUCUAUUGGCAGUUGAGCUGGAUGCAGUUCCAAGCCCGGAUCUUAAAGACAUCAAUGACAACCACGUUGGAAUUGAUGUAGACAGCUUGAUAUCCAUUGAAUCUGCUCCUGUGACCUACUUUUCAGAUAAGGAAAAGGAGAAUAAGAGCUUGACUCUCACAAGUGGUCACGUGAUGCACGUGUGGAUAGAUUAUGAUGAAGUAGAGAAGCUACUCAAUGUUACCGUUGCUCCUGUCACAAGAACAAAACCAACCUUGCCUCUCUUGUCAACAUCUCUCGAUCUUUCUUCUGUUAUGUUGGAUUCUAUGUACGUUGGUUUUUCUGCAUCUACUGGAGCAGUGGCUAGCAGCCACUAUAUUCUGGGGUGGAGCUUCAACAGAGGCGGACAAGCUCAAAGUCUUGACGCCUCAAAGAAAAUCCAGAAAGAAACCAUAUUUAAGAAUUCUGGUCCCAACAAUAACAGCAAUCAUUUUGCUGGUAGCAUUCUCUGGUGCUGCUUAUAUCAUAAGGAGGAAGAAAUAUGAAGAACUGCGCGAAGAUUGGGAACAGGAGUAUGGUCCUCAAAGAUUCUCCUACAAGGAUUUAUACAAAGCAACUAC
rnacentral:lncRNA from 1 species